rnacentral:misc_RNA from 1 species
UCCGGUUUGUCACCGGCAGUUUCAUUAAAGUGCCCAACUAAAUGAUGGCAAUUAAUGACAAGGGUUGCGCUCGUUGCGGGACUUAACCCAACAUCUCACGACACGAGCUGACGACAGCCAUGCAGCACCUGUGUUACCGUUCCCUUUCGGGCACACCCACUUCUCGGCGGGCUUCGGUACAUGUCAAGCCUAGGUAAGGUUCUUCGCGUUGCGUCGAAUUAAACCACAUGCUCCACCGCUUGUGCGGGCCCCCGUCAAUUCCUUUGAGUUUCAGCCUUGCGGCCGUACUCCCCAGGCGGGGCACUUAAUGCGUUAGCUACGGCACAGAGACCGUGGAAUGGCCCCCACACCUAGCGCCCACCGUUUACGGCGUGGACUAC